AGCGCGACGGGAUCGACGGCGCGCGUGACGACCAGGUAGUCGCGCAGCGCGAUGCCGUGCCGGUUUUC
rnacentral:sRNA from 1 species